rnacentral:rRNA from 1 species
CGCUACGACCAAAUCAUCCCGAGUGCACCCAAUCUCGUCAGCACCACGGAAGCUAAGUAGAUUUCAUCCUAGUUUGUACUCGGAUGGGACACUGCCUGGUAAUACCAGACAUUGUAGGCU